rnacentral:tmRNA from 1 species
GGGGGUGACUUGGUUUCGACAGAGAUGAAGGGGAUUGUUGAUGCAUGUCGAGGAGAUUACCUUUCUCGUAAAAAAUGGUGAUAACAAAAUUUAAAAGCAAACGAUAACUUUGCAUUAGCUGCAUAGUUCAGCUACGGUGCUGUAAAGCUUUGCCAUUAGGCUUGCUACCACCGCCAAUUUUAAUGGCUAUAGUCAGCAAAUGUCUAUAAUGUUGACCUAAAUUUAUAGGCUGGUUUGAAGGAUUGGUUUGAUUAUUUUCCAACUUUUGGAUGAGAUUUAAAAAUAACUAAACAUGUAGAUUUGACUUUUGACUUAUUUUUGGACGCGGGUUCGAUUCCCGCCACCUCCACCA